CCUACGGGAGGCAGCAGUGGGGGAUAUUGCACAAUGGGGGGAACCCUGAUGCAGCGACGCCGCGUGGGUGAAGAAGCGCCUCGGCGCGUAAAGCCCUGUCAGCAGGGAAGAAAAUGACGGUACCUGAAGAAGAAGCAGCGGCUAACUACGGGCCAGCCGCCGUGGUAAUACGUAGGGGGCAAGCGUUAUCCGGAUGUACUGGGUGUAAUGGGGGCGCAGUCGGGGAGGCAAGCCAGGAGUGAAAGCCCGGGGCCCAAACCCGGGACUGCUCUUGAAACUGCGUGGCUGGAGUGAAGGAGGGGCAGGCGGAAUUCCUGGUGUAGCGGUGAAAUGCGUAGAUAUCAGGAAGAACACCGAUGGCGAAGGCGGCCUGCUGGACUGCAACUGACGUUGAGGCCCGAAAGCGUGGGGAGCAAACAGGAUUAGAUACCCGAGUAGUC
rnacentral:rRNA from 1 species